rnacentral:lncRNA from 1 species
CCUGUCUCUCUCCCAGAAGUCUCAGCAAUAUCUUACUGACUCUGAUUGGGUCAUGUGAGCAUCUUUAAGCCAAUCACUGUGGCUAGAAAAAUGCGGUGUGCUGAUUGGCUUAGACUCAAAUUACAUGUUUACCCUUACAGCUGGGCAUGGCUUUAACUCAUUCAGAUUACAUGGAUUGAAUAUGAGACAGGGUGGUUCCCCAGAGAAAGACUGGGAUAAGACACCAGCACAAUGGCAAAGGGAUGAUGGGAGGCCAAAGCAACAGAUAUCCACCACACCUACUCUGAUCAAGAAUUUUUGAACUUCUGGACAUAAAGCCAGAUUGGAAGAAGUAAUAUGAUGCCAGUGUGUUGUCAUUUCUGGAACAUAUUUUUUGGGCAAUAGAAGCCUGAAGUGCUCUGAAGGCUGCCAACAAAAUGUCAAGUGAGUCCACUGACAAAAAGGAAGAGAAACCUUGGAAAAACAUUAUUGCUUAUGUUCCAUCUGAAUCUGAGCAGCUGACCUGAGGAAGGAGCAGCACACUUCAAUUUGGACUAGCCACAUUUCAAGUGCUUGACAGUCACAGGUGACUAAUGGCUCUCCUAUGGGUUAUAGCCCAGCUCUUGACUCUUUGAUCCACAAGGAUAAGAACCACAUCCACUUCCACAUCUCCAGGUAUGAGGCAGAUAAAUAGCAGAGAGUGAUUACACAAAACUCUUCUCACCACGGAUUCCGGCAUUUGUGGGCAGCUGCAGAAGAGUAGGUGGGAGGAUCUCCCAGAUUAUGAGGCCAGUUUUUCUGUGGCUCAGAGACUGCCAGUGACUCGCUCAAGAUAAAACAGCUUGUUAGUGGCAGGGAUGGAGCCCAGAAAUCCUGUUUCCUGUCCUCAGGAGUGUGUGUUCGAAAGAAGUUCUUGGCAAAGGUGAGAAUAAAUCAUAGGCUCUUUGAAGAGGACUCCAGUGUAUUAAACAAAUAGGUUGCUGAGAUGCAGUUAACUACUCAGUAAUGUAGUUGAAGAAAAUUAAUUUUUCAUUCUGCCACUCAGAAUAUCGAGGCUGGCCAUCUGUAAACACAGCCUGUCUCUAGGAGAACAGAGGUGGAAUCCUCCUUGCAAGUUUAAAAAAAUAACAGAGUAAUCUCAGUGGAUGUCUUAAGAGAAACAUAAUUAUAAUUUAGUUGACAUAUCUCAUAUCUCAGUGAUGGUAAAUAAACCUUCCCUAAAUAAUUCAAUUAUAAAUGUUGCUCCUUUGGAGAAGUGAACUGAACUGGUCUUGAAUGGAAUUGGGUAAGUGUUUCCACAUACAAAAAAACAGCACGUGCUGGCGAGAAAGCAUGUCCCACAUCUCAGAGCUCACUGGGGACUGCCUCAGCUACUGGCUCUGUAAACCAGCAGCUCUAUGGUAACGGGACUCUCCUUCAACCACAUGGCUGCCUGUGUGUGUAUCUGAUUGCUCUGUGGGGGAGUGGCAGAGAAGAACAAUGUGCAUUUAUAAUGGAGCCCCAGUACAGACCUUUCACCACAGGGACUUCCCAGACCAAUCUUGUUCUGGUGGAAUUCAGAGCCACUGAAUGAAAUUAAAGGCCAUCAGUGGGGUCAUGCCAUGAACAUCACAUCAUUGCUCUAGAAAAGACAAACCCAUUCCAGCCACAUCUGGACCACCUGCUCCCCUUGUAGAAUGAUUUCUGCAGAAGGGCCAAUUUGCAUUUCACAGGGACCUCGAGAGAAGGCUUGUCAACAGGUUGUCUCAGCUUGGAAUUCCACAGCAAAAAAAAAAGAUACUUUCUUUGAACUACGAGUCAGUCUGUUAAGUUUGGGGGAAUUUGUAGAAAUAUUUGAAGAACAGUUGCAGUUUUAAAUCCAUUAGGAUAUCUAAGAUCUUAAGCACAGGCUGUUACGGAUAUUUGCCAAGCGGAAUUUUCACUUGAGUUUUGGUCUCAUAUAAAGCUCUGGAAACUGAUUGAAAUCCAGUAAUACUCUUUCCCCUCCCCCAAAAAAUCAAAACAAAACAAAUGCCACAAACACAAAAGCGUUCCUCCUACCACCUUUCUCUGGCUCUGGAGAGAAGGUGGAAUAGUCCUUAUACUUUCAUGCUAGGUUCUGAUUAAUCACCUAGGAUAGACUUUGUGAGUGCCAAUUACAGGCAAAGCAUGUGCUGGUUCCAAGCUUUGGUGUGACUGUGGAUGUAAGAAAAUGUGAAUAUAAAUGGCCUCCCUUGUUUACUGAGAUCAGUGUGGCUCAUUCUUCCUGAUGACUUCCAUCCAACCUGCACUGUUCAGGAACCAGAUUAUACAGUCUUAGAACAAGACUGGGAAGGCCUCAGAGUCCAGGACUCUGUUUUGGUCUUCUCUUGUUCCCCACUAUGGCUCUCAAAUACAGGGCUAGGGGCAUAAAAAUGCAGAGUGUUCACUGCAUUUGAUACCAUUACUCACUAUGACAGAAAAAGCAGUGGCCAGAAUAGUGGAGCACCACCUUUUUUUUUUUGGCAUGAGAAAAAUAUUCCUUGAAUCGUAUAUAAUAUUAGUAAUUUGUAAGAUGUUCUAUGUGUUCAGAAAGUGCUAUUUUUCAAGAAGGACCCCUUGUUAAUGACAAUAAAGGCUCUCAUGAAAAGGUCCAUAAACCUCAUUCAUUCAUUCAUCUGUUAACUAAAUAUGCAUGGAGCCUGCCAUGUAUCAGGCGCCCUGCUCCACACAGAGAAAGCUAAGAGCUGGAGCCUCAGAACUGCCUGGCAAAGCCUUGUAGGCUCCCUCUCUAGUGAUCUGGCAGAAGUGGAUGAGGUGCUCAGACUGAAGACUAUUUUAGAGGGCAUUGAUUCUUAUGCCUGAGAUUCUAAGGGAUUUUGUGGCUUUAUCUGCUAAGGGGAGGGCAGUUUUGAGAAGAGAAAGGGGAGGCUGAAGAUGGCAGGCUCUCAAAGGUCCUCAUCACCUGUAACUGUCUUUCCUGCAGUUCUUCCUAAGGAGCCCCCUUGGAAGGAGACCCCACCACUAUGCCACAUACUGUGGGUCCUAGGUCCUCAUGUGAGGGUAAACUUCUACUUAUAAACCAGGGGCUAUAGCCGAAUCAAGAAAAAUUCUUUUUUCUGCUGUCUUUAACUGUUGGAUAAUAAUUUUGUUCCUUUUAAGAAAUUUUCUUAAAAAGUUGAAUUUCUAACAACAUCCUGGAGAGCUGGCUCAUUAAGAGCAUUCCUAUUGUGUUGUCAGGAUAAUGGCCCCCUUAUAGGUUCAUGUCCUAAUCUCUGAAACCUGUGAAUAUGUUACAGUCAUGCAUCGCUUAGCAACAAGGACACAUUCUAAGAAAUGCGUCCUUCGGUUAUUUCUUCAUUGUCGAACAUCAUAGAGUGCACUCACACAAACCUAGACGGCAUAGCCCACUACACACCUAGGCUCUAUGGUACAGCCUAUUGCUCCUAGGCUAUGGACCUGUACAGGAUGUUACUGUACCAAAUACUGUAGGCAGAUGUAACAUGAUGGUAAGUAUGUGUUUAUUUAGACACAAGUAAAUAUAAAAAAUGUAAAAUGGUGAUGCAGUAUUAUAAUCUCAUGGGACUACCUUCCUAUAUGCAGUCUAUCAUUGACUGAAAUGUGAUUAUGUGGCACAUGACUGUACUUAAACAGCAAAAAGGACUUUUCAGAAGUGAUUAAAUGAAGAAUCUUGAGAUGGGGAGAGUAUCCUGGACCAUUUAGGUGGGUCCAAUGCUACACAAAGGUCCUCACAAUUAAAGAGGGAGGCAGGAGAGCCAGACAUGAUGUGAUGAAUGAAGAAGAGGUUGAAUAAUGCAGUGGCUGACCUUAAAGAUGAAAGGGGCUAUAAGCCAUGGCGUGUUGUAAACUGUAAAGUAGAAGGAAACAGAAGCUCUUCUAGGGCCUCCAGAAGGAGCACAGCCUUCCCAAUACUUUGAUUGAUUUUAGCCCCGGAGACCCAUUUCAGACAUCUGACCUCCAAGAUUGUAAGAUAAUAAACUUAUGUUGAAGUCACUACAUAUGUGGUAUAUUAUAUGGUUGCAAUAGGAAACCAACACACUCAUCUUGCUCAACACACAAUCCUUGCUUCUCUACACAAACUGAUUUCCUCAAUGUUCCCCUUUUAUACUAGACUUUGUGUACGCCACUUCUGCUCUGCUGUCUCAUCUCCUUCUUCCACUUCUCCCGACCAAUCAGCUUUCCAAGGCCAGCUCCACACUCCACUGCACCCCAUCCCCUGCCCUGAAAUUCUUCAUAGAUGCCAGGCACAAUGUGCUCUGAUUUCUGAUUCUCUCAGUAUUUUGAAGAGUGUUUAUCAAUAUGUGUAAUUCACGAUUACUUUAGACAAACAAACAAAAAGCUCAUCUUCCAAAAGGUGUUUAAAAGUGCUGGGCUGACCACACACAGGAUAACCAAAGACCACCUCUGCUUGGUGGCUUCUGCAUGCCUAAGACUCCCCAAGCUGUUUAAUAAGGGCUCAAUUCCUGAUUGCCUUCACAGUGAACUGUGGGGUACAGGGGUCAGUAGCUGCCCUCUGUCCACCCUGUAUGCAAACAGGCCUGCAUCCUUCACUGCUCAGCCCCACAAGCCUGUGUUCAUUUGCUACAAUUUGCUCCAUUUAGAGGUGUAGAAUUAGUUGACUUUCAGGUCAGACAGUGCUGAGCCUGAAAGAUGUGCCCUUCUGAGUCUCUGAGACAUCUCCCUGGGGAAAGGCCCACUUGGGAGAAGGUUCCCUUUUUUUUAUUUUACCCUUCACCCACCACCACCAUAAGCACAGCCUGCUUUCAUACAUUUUGUGCCAUACCCUGGGCUAAGAUCUUUGCAUUGCCUAUUCUCCCAAUAAUUCUUGGAGGUAUUACUAUUAUUUUCUCCAUUUUACAAAUAGACUGAAGCUCAGAGAGGUGGAAUAACAUGUCCAAGGUCACACAAUGAGUUUGUGUCUACAGCCUUGCUGUUUGAACUGUGGGCCAUGAACCAGCAGCACAGGCAUCCCUUGGGAGCUGGUUAGAAAUGUAGAAUCAUAGACUCCACCCCAGGCCUUCUGAAUCUGAAUCUUAACAAGUUCUCCAGGCAAUUAACAUGCACAUUAAAGUUUGAGAAGUUCUGCUCUAAACCACUAAGCAGUACUAUCACUCAAGAAAGAAAAAGAAAAACAAUCAUUUAUUGGAUGAG